rnacentral:misc_RNA from 1 species
AAAACAAGAAAAUAUAACCAGAUGUGAAUCACACUAGCCAUAAAAAUGUCUGCCAUAAAUAUCACAAAAAAAAAGACAUAAAAGUUAAUAAAAUUGCAAGUAAUCAUUAUAAAAUAAUUAUUAAAAAAUUAAAAUUGAAAUCAAAUUCUUUAAACCGCCUCCCCUGUACCAUGACCUACCCAGCGCUUGACGAAAUCGCCUCCAUGUCAUAGAGACGAUGGUUACGGAGGCGGUCAUGAGUCAGUUUUGUGAACUGCCUCUAGCAAAUAUAGGGGCGGUGCCUUGAGAAAAACUGUAGUUAAUAGUGGAAUUAAGGGAUCAUCUCAUAUUAUGAAAUUGUCAAGUCUUUGAGUGGGAAAUUUACAUGUGGAUAAUAAUUAUCUUGUUGUAUCUCUUUUUGAACAUCUUCAUAUAAUUUGCUUCUUCUGAGUUGCUGAAGGUAAUAAUUAUUUUGGAUCUAUCAGUGCAAUGAUUUGAAUAUCUCUAAAAUCUUAACUUUAUGGCAUUCAGGGAUGAGUGACCUUUGUUAACACAGAAAAGUGUCUUAAAAAUGUCUUGACAGCAUGAAUUAGUAUGGGAAAAAAGAAAAAGACAGAAAAGGGAUUGUUCUUUUAGUGCUAUCUAGAAUGACAAUUCACCUCGUUUGUAUUAUUCUUAUUUUAUUCUGCAAGAAUAAGUAGCAUCUUUUCAUUAAUUGAUACAAAUAGUGUGCAAAAUAAACAAGUUCCAUUUAUUAUCACCUCAUUGUUUUCUCUUUCACUAUAUUGCAACAUACCAAACAUGACACAAUUGUAUGACCUUUCAUCAUUAUGUGGACUCGAGGCUGUCUUCUGUAGUUGAUAUUUCCAGGGCACCGGCCAUCUCUUUUUGUUGAGGACAUCCUUGGAAGUAAUUAAAUCCUUAUUGCUUGCUUUCUAAUGUAACUUCCCAUUGCUGAAGUAUCUUUGUUUGUGAAUUGUUACUUCGCCCUGAAGGCCUGGAAUGCACAAAACGGUGGAGCUGUGGCCAUUCUGGUUUUAGAUGACAAGAAUGAACCAAUGAUUACAAUGGACACCCCUGAAGAAGAAAAUGCAGAUGCUGACUAUCUGCUAAGAUGUAUAAGAGCUCUGUACACGUUUUGUCCUUGUUGGAGGCUCCACCAGGAUUUCAAAGUGAGCUACCCUCAAAAGCUAGGCAAACUAAGAUAUCUUCUACAUCCAAUUCAUGCCAUGGUGGCUUUCCUGUGAUCAUCUCAAUAACAAUGCAACCCAGAGACCAAAUAUCCAAAGCUGGUGAUAUCUCGGCAAGCUUUACAGAUUCAGGAGACAUGUACAAGGGAGUUCCACGGAAAGUGUACUGGUAAAAGAAUUUCCUUGAAUUGCCUUCAUCAGGCUCUUUUGCCAAGCUAAAAUUUCCAAUCUUGAGCUGAAAAUCAUAUUGAUCAGAAGAGAAAAUAAGGAUAUUGACAAGUUUAAGAUCACAAUGAGCAUAUCUAUUAUUUUGUCUAAAUGAUAACCCUUUAAUAAUCAUCCAAGUAUAUCAUCACAUUCAAGCAUUUUUUCUGACAUAUUUAUUAAUCAAGUCUACAAGACUAACACAAGGAACAUAUUUCAGUAAUAAAUUAUAAAUCGAUGUGUAAUUUUCACGACUCAAACAGUCUUCAUAGUCUUUAAUUCUAUCCGCAGAGAAAAAGAAUCUAUUAUCAGUGCACACUUCACAGUAAAAGUGGCAGAAAUAAUGUUGGUCGGUAUGGCCAAGAAGACCGAGCCACAGGAUCCCUUCCCGGAGCACUUCUGGCGAGCCCAGUCCAUAGUAAGCCAAUACAGGUUGAGAAUAGUGCAGUAGAAUCCUUGGGUAGGCAGUCCUUUUCCUUGUAGGAUUUAGUAUGUAUAAUCAUUUUCCUUGUAGGAUUUACUUUCAAAUUCACAGUGUCGUUUGCCCUUAAAGAGUUGGCGUUUGAUUGAACAUCG